rnacentral:lncRNA from 1 species
GUACAUGUACAGUAGAUGCAGGUGUGUGUGUUUGUCUCUUCCUGUGUAUAUUUCUGGAAGGCAGCACGGAAUGGGUUAAUGUGUGUUUGCUAAUAGGCUAACAUCAUGGGAUUUAUUUCUUGAAUAUGCUGUGUUGUCACUAAAACAGUGUUUUAUAAUCGAAAGGAAACUGAUUCAGUUUGUUUGUAAUGAUGAACAUGUUUUGCUCUUCUUUAACAGGGAGUCUCAUCUCUGAAGAACUGCAUUCUGGGUAUGAAGAUGCUGAUGAGUUUCUCUCAGCAAAAGAAUUCAAUACUGCAUAUUAUGAUGAUAUCACCAGCAACAGUGGCCUAAAUGAAGAGAUGAUGAAGGAAAUCACUCUGGGAUACUAUGAUGAUGUCAUCACUGAUGGACUGAAGCCAGAUCGUGAGACAGGUGUCACUCUCUUAAUCUACAGCAGCAUAUAA